AUUGAACGCUGGCGGCAGGCCUAACACAUGCAAGUAGAACGAGUGGCGGACGGGGGAGUAAUGUCUGGGAAACUGCCUGAUGGAGGGGGAUAACUACUGGAAACGGUAGCUAAUACCGAAUAACAUCGGAUGUGCCCAGAUGGGAUUAGCUAGUGGUGGGGGAAAAGGCUCACCUAGGCGACUAUCACUAGCUGGUCUGAGAGGAUGACCAGCCACACUGGAAAUGAGACACGGUCCAGACUCCUACGCGAGGCAGCAGUGGGGAAUAUUUCACAAGGGGCGCAAGUCUGAUGCAGCCAUGCCGCGUGUAUGAAGAAGGCCUUCGGGUUGUAAAGUACUUUCAGCGGGGAGGCGUUACCCGCAGAAGAAGCACCGGCUAACUCCGUGCCAGCCGCCGCGGUAAUUC
rnacentral:rRNA from 1 species